UACAUAUCGUAUGACUGGCGGAAGUGGAGUUUACCACAUGGAAGUACGAUUAUUAAAAAGCCGACCGCCUGGGUGACUGAU
rnacentral:ncRNA from 2 species